AUGCAUGAGUUAACUAAGGAAAACAUUAAGCGCAUGAAUGCUAAAUAUAAACUUGCUGGAGAUAAGGGUAGAAAACAUGUUGUGUUUGCACCUGGAGAUCUUGUUUGGUUACAUUUGCGUAAGGAUAGAUUUCCUGAUUUGCGCAAAUCAAAGUUAAUGCCACGUGCUGAUGGUCCCUUUAAGGUGUUAGAGAAAAUAAAUGAUAAUGCAUAUAAACUUGAGCUGCCUGCAGAUUUUGGGGUUAGUCCCACUUUUAACAUUGCAGAUUUGAAGCCUUAUUUGGGUGAGGAAGAUGAACUUCCGUCGAGGACGACUUCAUUUCAAGAAGGGGAGGAUGAUGAGGACAUCAAUACAAUUGUUACACCCACAGCCCCUGCUGCUAUACAUACUGGACCAAUUACUAGAGCUCGUGCACGCCAACUAAAUUACCAGGAAACAGACCCUCGUGGUCAGGUUGAUCGUGCUCCGGCGUGGUCAAUAACCUCUCGGAGUUGGUUUAGCGAUUGCUAA
rnacentral:rRNA from 1 species